UACGUAGGUGGCAAGCGUUGUUCGGAAUAACUGGGCGUAAAGGAUGCGUAGGCGGUUAAACAAGUUAUAUGUUAAAUAUAUAGGCUUAACCUGUAGAAAGCAUAUAAAACUGUUUAACUAGAGUGCAGGAGAGGUAAGUGGAAUUCCUAGUGUAGCGGUGAAAUGCUUAGAGAUCAUACAGAACACCGAUUGCGAAGGCAGCUUACCAAGCUACUUCUGACGUUGAGGCACGAAAGCGUGGGGAGCAAACAGG
rnacentral:rRNA from 1 species